rnacentral:rRNA from 1 species
AAUCCCUUAUCGAUUAACAAUUAGAGGGCAAGUCUGGUGCCAGCAGCCGCGGUAAUUCCAGCUCUAAUAGCGUAUAUUAAAGUUGUUGCAGUUAAAAAGCUCGUAGUUGGAUUUCGGCGUGCGCUCAGGCUGGUCGGCCGUCAAGGUCUGUACCGUUUGGGUCACGCCCCACUGUAGGAUACUCACCGCUGUCCUUAACUGGGUGGCGGUCAAAGGGGGUGUGCAUGGGGGCAACUCUGUGCAUAUCUCUGGGGUUCCUACUCUUUUACUUUGAGCAAAUUAGAGUGUUCAAAGCAGGCAAUCGAGCCUUGAAUACUUCAGCAUGGGAUAAUGGAACAGGACUGGGGUCCUGAUUUCGUUGGUUUCUGGGAUCUCAGUAAUGAUUAAUAGGGAUAGUUGGGGGCAUUAGUAUUUAAUUGUCAGAGGUGAUAUUCUUGGAUUUAUGAAAGACUAACUUCUGCGAAAGCAUUUGCCAAGGAUGUUUUCAUUAAUCAAGAACGAAAGUUAGGGGAUCGAAGACGAUCAGAUACCGUCGUAGUCUUAACCAUAAACGAUGCCGACCAGCGAUUGGGAGACGUUACAUGGAUGACUCCCCCAGCAGCUUGCGAGAAAUCACAAGUCUUUGGGUUCCGGGGGGAGUAUGGUCGCAAGGCUGAAACUUAAAGGAAUUGACGGAAGGGCACCACCAGGAGUGGAGCCUGCGGCUUAAUUUGACCCAACACGGGGAAACUUACCAGGUCCAGACAUAGUAAGGAUUGACAGAUUUGAGAGCUCUUUCUUGAUUCUAUGGGUGGUGGUGCAUGGCCGUUCUUAGUUGGUGGAGUGACUUGUCUGGUUAAUUCCGUUAACGAACGAGACCUUAACCUGCUAAAUAUGUCACUGGUAGACUUCUGCCAAAACAGGUGGGUGUCUAGGGGAAAGUUUCGAUGGACUCCGACGCAUUCAUCUGUGGAUGACUACCAGGAUGUACUUCUUAGAGGGACUAUCUGUAUCAAAGCAGAUGGAAGUUUGAGGCAAUAACAGGUCUGUGAUGCCCUUAGAUGUUCUGGGCCGCACGCGCGCUACACUGACAAGUUCAACGAGUUUAACACCUUGCUCGAUAGGGCUGGGUAAUCUUUGAAAAACUUGUCGUGAUGGGGAUAGAUCAUUGUAAUUAUUGGUCUUCAACGAGGAAUUCCUAGUAAGCGUGAGUCAUCAGCUCGCGUUGAUUACGUCCCUGCCCUUUGUACACACCGCCCGUCGCUCCUACCGAUUGAAUGAUCUGGUGAAAUGUUGGGAGCUGGGGUCUUUUGGCGGCGGGGCAACUCGUCGUCAGGGAUUCUGCAAACUUCAUUAAACCUUAUCAUUUAGA